rnacentral:tRNA from 1 species
UACUCUUUUAGUAUCAACCAGUACAACUGACUUCCAAUCAGUUAGUUUCGGUCUAACCCCGAAAAAGAGUAA